AGCUGUCUUUGCAGCUAUAGGGUGCUUCCCCUUAGCCUUGCUGGCUUAUGAAGCAACUGAGUUGAGUUUGUCACCAUCAGGAAUAUUUCAUGGUAAAUCAUGCCAGUUAGUGAAUUUUGGAAUAAAGGACUGCUAAGAAAAGGCAGGAUCUUUUUCAGGCUGAGUCAGACAAUCAGCUAAUUGGUCCACAGUAGCUAACUCUACCAGCCACAGGUGUACUCAAUACUCUUUUUGUAACGUUAUGGAUGGUGACCUGUAAAAUCAGUCCCGGUUCUUCUACUGUUCUCUAUGUGCUGCUGAACACCACAAACCUCCUACACCAGCUCUUCUAUACCAGGUUGUGCUGCCUAUGUUAUUACCAACCCCAAUGAAGUAACUGCUGCAGAGAGAACGCUGUAAGUGCUAUACGUUGCACUUAAUCUCUCCAAGACGUAAUAUCUAAAGAACAUAGUCUUGCAGAUGGAAGUCAUCAAAAUCCAAUUUGUUAUCCCAGAGAAGGAGAAAAAUCUCAUGCUCCUGUAAUUCUAAGAAUCCCCAAGACUGUACUAUUUCACCGUCAAAAGGAGAAAAGAGGAGGAGAUAGGAAAGCUCCCUUCUGUAUACUAGUCCAUCCUCAUAAAACAUAGCUCACCUCUUCUCCUUGGGCUGCCUGCACACUAAUGAAAAGCCCAAGCAUAUUCCCUGAGAAUAGAUCUUUUUGUUUUUACUUCAGUCUUUGGUGAUAAAGGACAAUCCUUUACCUUGUACCAUGUCCAGAUCUUUAAUUGCUAUGAUGUAAAACUUACUGAAAGUUCUCUGCAUGGUGUUUUUGAAUUGUAUGUAUUCCUGUGUGUGUGUAUGUAUGGUGGCUUAUGUGUAUGUAUGUAUGAUGGCUUAACACCACUAAGUAGCUCAGCUCCAUCAUGCUGCUCUCUCACUCUCCCUCUUCCCCUCCUCAACAGAAUGGAUGGUAGGAUAGGGUGUGGUGGAAUAUGAUGAAAAAAAUCCCAUGGGUUGAAAGAUGGACAGGAAAAUUGCUCACCAGUUACCAUCAUAGGCAAAACAGACUCAGCAUGAAGGGAAUUAAUGUGAUUUAUUGCCUACUAAUAACAGACUAGAACAGUGAGAACUGUAAGUAAACUAAAAAUAUCUUCUGCCCAUCUACUCUCUUCUUCAUGUCCACCUCCCCCCCUCCACCCGGCACAGUGCAGGGGGAAGUGGAAUGGGGGAUGUGGUCAGUCACCCUUCAUCUCCACCACUCCAUGGUCACUCUGUGUCCCUGCUCCCUGUGGGGUCCCUCCCAUGGAUGCUG